UUUUUUUUUUUUUUUUUUUUUUUUUUGUCUUAAACUGGUGGUUUCUUACUGAAGGUGUUCUCCAUUUGAAAUUUUCUUUACAAAAUCUGUUCAAAAUAUUUUAAGUAGUAUCUUAAGACACAACUUGUUAGUAUAAGUGUUACAUGAGUUGGAACAGUAGUUCUCAGAUUUGUCUGAAUGUAAAUCAGCUGGGAAUCUUUCAAGUUAUUUUGAAAUUAAACCACAAUCUGAGGGUGGAACACCUUAGUAAUCCUUAAAGUUCCUCCACGUGAUUCCAGGUUUGGUCACCAUUAUCUUAGAGCAUCUACUGACUUCCUCUAGCCUCUGGGUUUGUCCAAGAUCUUGUAGUGAGUUACGGAAUACUAAAGUGGACAUAGAAGUGGUCAGAUUGACUGAAACUGUAUCUGGAAUUGAAGGUGAGUUCAGAUUUUGUUUCUAUGGAACCUGGUCCAAAAAACUACGAAGUCCUUAGCUUGUUUCCUGUGGUAUUGAUGCUGAAAUAAGAUGACAAUGGGUUGUAAAAUAAUAUGCAAGUAUAAGGAAUUAUCUGACAUUCCAAAUUUCUAGUAUUAUUAAGACUUUUUUCACUAAACCUUAGAAAAAAAUUACCAGUACAACUACUGGUAGUGUAUUUGUGCAUUUGCACAAAAGAUAUAAUUUUUCUCUUAUUACAUUUCAAGUUUAUGAUGCAUUAAGCAUUUUCCAUAUUUUGAUGUAUUUUUGCUUUGGUUUACCAUCCAUUUUAGUGGCUACAGAAUGUAGUGCACUUUAAUAGAUGGGAAUUCCUAGGGUUUUUAAAUACUAGACUAUUUAAGACAAAAUACAAAGCAAUUAUUCAGAAAAAUCCAGGUGCCUGGCAGGUUACUAGAGGACUGAAACCUAGGUUCUUGGCUAAGUAUUCUCGUUUAUACUGUUUCUCCUUCCCAUUGCCUAAGCACAGCACAAACUAUGUAAUUAUAUGUAAUUACAGUUGACCCUUGAACAACAUAGGUUUGAACUGUGUGGGUCCACUUACACACGGGUUUUCUUCCACCCCUGAGAUGGCAAGACCAACCCAUUGUCUUCCUCAGCCUACUCAACAUGAAGAUGACGAGGAUGAAGACCUUUAUGAUGAUCCACUAAUUAAAUAAAAGAAGUAAACUGUGUCAGCUUCUUUGUGGAUCAAAAUCAGAAGACCAAGAGGAACCAGGUUCCAAUUUCUUUUCAACUAAAAUACUUUUAGACUUGCUUUUAUUCCUCUCUGUUCUGAGCCUUGUGAGAAAACUGCACAGUAAGCUUCUUGUGUCUAAUCUCUACAGUGUCUACUCCAAUCUCAGCCCUUUGUGGCCUAUUCAGGAAGGCAGGAACAACUUCUAAAGUAAAUCAACAAGAAGCCAUAAUUAAAGAAGGCAUCACACUGACCUCUCUGCACAUUAAACACCAGAAGACCAUGGAGGAAUGUUACUGAACUGAGAAACAACUUAGAAAAACACUUCUAUUUACAGAGACUUGGAAAAUAUAUCACUCAUGUUACCACUUGGGAAAAUAUUCUCAAAAGACAUGCUUCAUUCAAAUAAAAAGCGAACUGAAAUAAAGAAACAAGACCCAAGAGGUCUAACUCUAUGAAAAGUCUGAGCUUCAGGGCAAGCUCAAACUCUUCAAAAAUGAGGACAAUUGACAGUAGCUUAUCUGGUGAUUAACAGCAGCAAUUUAAUGUAAUGAGAAAAAAAGCCAAUUGUAAAGUUCGUAUCUUUCUUUA